rnacentral:rRNA from 1 species
AUACGCAGGUGACAAGCGUUAUCCGGAUUUACUGGGCGUAAAGGGCGUGUAGGCGGCCUUGCAAGUCAGAAGUGAAAUUCUCGGGCUCAACCCGGGCGCUGCUUCUGAAACUGUAGGGCUUGAGUGCUGGAGGGGAUAGCGGAAUUCCUAGUGGAGCGGUAAAAUGCGUAGAUAUUAGGAAGAACACCGGUGGCGAAGGCGGCUAUCUGGACAGAAAAGGAAGCUUAGGCGCGAAAGCGUGGGGAGCAAAAAGGAUUAGAUACCCGGGAAGUCCACGCCGUAAACGAUGAAUACUAGGUGUAGGGAGUAUCGACUCCCUCUGUGCCGCAGUUAACACAAUAAGUAUGCCGCCUGGGGAGUACGGCCGCAAGGUUGAAACUCAAAGGAAUUGAUGGGG